GGGGAUAUAGCUCAGUUGGUAGAGCACACGGCUCAUAUCCGUGAUGUCAUAGGUCCGAUCCCUAUUAUCCCUA
rnacentral:tRNA from 1 species